AGAGUUUGAUCCUGGCUCAGAACGAACGUUAGCGGCGCCCUAACACAUGCAAGUCGAGCGAGAAAGGGCUUCGGCCCCGGUACAGCGGCGCACGGGUGAGUAACACGUAGGUAAUCUUCCCUCGAGCGGGGGAUAACCUUCCGAAAGGGGGCUAAUACCGCAUAAGACCACGGAGUCGAAAGACUUUGAGGUCAAAGCCGGCCACUAUACAUAAGCUGGCACUUGAGGAUGAGCCUGCGGCCCAUCAGGUAGUUGGUAGGGUAACGGCCUACCAAGCCAAAGACGGGUAGCUGGUCUGAGAGGAUGAUCAGCCACACUGGAACUGAGACACGGUCCAGACUCCUACGGGCGGCAGCAGUGGGGAAUCUUGCGCAAUGGGGGGCAACCCUGACGCAGCGACGCCGCGUGAGUGAUGAAGGCCUUCGGGGUUGUAAAGCUCUGUGGAGGGGAGACGAAUAAGUGUUGGCUAAUAUCCAGCAUGAUGACGGUAUCCCUUUAGCAAGCACCGGCUAACUCUGUGCCAGCAGCCGCGGUAAGACAGAGGGUGCAAACGUUGUUCGGAAUUACUGGGCGUAAAGCGCGUGUAGGCUGCCCUGCAAGUCAGGUGUGAAAGCCCUGGGCUCAACCUAGGAAGUGCACUUGAAACUGCGGGGAUUGAGUGCUGGAGAGGGAAGCGGAAUUCUCGGUGUAGAGGUGAAAUUCGUAGAUAUCGAGAGGAACACCGGUGGCGAAGGCGGCUUCCUGGACAGUAACUGACGCUGAGACGCGAAAGCGUGGGGAGCAAACAGGAUUAGAUACCCUAGUAGUCC
rnacentral:rRNA from 1 species